UUGGAGGGCAAGUCUGGUGCCAGCAGCCGCGGUAAUUCCAGCUCCAAUAGCGUAUAUUAAAGUUGCUGCAGUUAAAAAGCUCGUAGUUGAAUUUCGGGACCAUCAUGUCGGUCGUGCCUCGGUACGUACUGGUAUUGUUGGUUUCUCCCUUCUGACGAACCAUGAUGUCAUUUAUUUGGUGUUGUGGGGAAUCAGGACUGUUACUUUGAAAAAAUUAGAGUGUUUAAAGCAGGCUCACGCUUGAAUACAUUAGCAUGGAAUAAUGAAAUAGGACGUUUGAUUCUAUUUUGUUGGUUUCUAGGAUCGACAUAUUGAUUAAUAGGGAUAGUUGGGGGCAUUAGUAUUCAAUUGUCAGAGGUGAAAUUCUUGGAUUUAUUGAAGACUAACUACUGCGAAAGCAUUUGCCAAGGAUGUUUUCAUUAAUCAAGAACGAAAGUUAGGGGAUCGAAGACGAUCAGAUACCGUCGUAGUCUUAACCAUAAACUAUGCCGACUAGGGAUCGGAUGAUGUUAAUUUUUUAAUGACUCAUUCGGCGCCUUACGGGAAAC
rnacentral:rRNA from 1 species